GACGAACGCUGGCGGCGUGCCUAAUACAUGCAAGUAGAACGCACAGUUUAUACCGUAGCUUGCUACACCAUAAACUGUGAGUUGCGAACGGGUGAGUAACGCGUAGGUAACCUGCCUGGUAGCGGGGGAUAACUAUUGGAAACGAUAGCUAAUACCGCAUAAUAUUGAUUAUUGCAUGAUAAUUGAUUGAAAGAUGCUAUUGCAUCACUACCAGAUGGACCUGCGUUGUAUUAGCCAGUAGGUGAGGUAACGGCUCACCUAGGCGACGAUACAUAGCCGACCUGAGAGGGUGAUCGGCCACACUGGGACUGAGACACGGCCCAGACUCCUACGGGAGGCAGCAGUAGGGAAUCUUCGGCAAUGGACGAAAGUCUGACCGAGCAACGCCGCGUGAGUGAAGAAGGUUUUCGGAUCGUAAAGCUCUGUUGUAAGAGAAGAACGGGUGUGAGAGUGGAAAGUUCACACUGUGACGGUAUCUUACCAGAAAGGGACGGCUAACUACGUG
rnacentral:rRNA from 1 species